rnacentral:rRNA from 1 species
GAUGAACGCUGGCGGCGUGCCUAAUACAUGCAAGUCGAGCGAACAGACGAGGAGCUUGCUCCUCUGACGUUAGCGGCGGACGGGUGAGUAACACGUGGAUAACCUACCUAUAAGACUGGGAUAACUUCGGGAAACCGGAGCUAAUACCGGAUAAUAUAUUGAACCGCAUGGUUCAAUAGUUAAAGACGGUUUUGCUGUCACUUAUAGAUGGAUCCGCGCCGCAUUAGCUAGUUGGUAAGGUAACGGCUUACCAAGGCAACGAUGCGUAGCCGACCUGAGAGGGUGAUCGGCCACACUGGAACUGAGACACGGUCCAGACUCCUAAGGGAGGCAGCAGUAGGGAAUCUUCCGCAAUGGGCGAAAGCCUGACGGAGCAACGCCGCGUGAGUGAUGAAGGUCUUCGGAUCGUAAAACUCUGUUAUUAGGGAAGAACAAAUGUGUAAGUAACUAUGCACGUCUUGACGGUACCUAAUCAGAAAGCCACGGCUAACUACGUG